ensembl:lncRNA PVT1 Pvt1 oncogene
GCAUCUGGAGGGAGAAGCCCAGCUCCUUAGCACAGCACCUGAGAAAUACCCUUUACAGUCUGGCCACUGGCUGAACAUUCUUUCACUCUCCAUGCCACACUGCUCUAAGGACAGAAUAACGGGCUCCCAGAUUCACAAGCCCCACCAAGAGGAUCACCCCAGGAACGCUUGGAGGCUGAGGAGUUCACUGAGGCUACUGCAUCUUGAGACUCAGGAUGAAGACCCAGCUUGGGGCUGUCAAAGGUUUUUUGCAUGUCUGACACCCAUGACUCCACCUGGACCUUAUGGCUCCACCCAGAAGCAAUUCAGCCCAACAGGAGGACAGCUUCAACCCAUUACGAUUUCAUCUCUGCCCCAACCACUCAGCAGCAAGCACCUGUUACCUGUCCACCCCCACCCCUUCCCCCAAACUGCCUUUGAAAAAUCCCUAACCUAUGAGCUUUGAAUAAGAUGAGUACGAACUUCAUCGCCCACGUGGCGUGGCCGGCCUCGUGUCUAUUAAAUUCUUUUUCUACUACAA